GACGAACCGUGCGAACGUUGUUCGGAAUCACUGGGCUUAAAGGGCGCGUAGGCGGGCGAUCAAGUCAGGGGUGAAAUCCGUCGGCUUAACCGGCGAAGAGCUUUUGAUACUGGUCGUCUCGAGGGAGGUAGGGGCAUACGGAACUCCCGGUGGAGCGGUGAAAUGCGUAGAGAUCGGAGGGAACGCCGGUGGCGAAAGCGGUGUGCUGGACCUCUUCUGACGCUGAGGCGCGAAAGCCAGGGGAGCAAACGGG
rnacentral:rRNA from 1 species